GAUGAACGCUGGCGGCGUGCCUAAUACAUGCAAGUCGAGCGAACGGACGAGAAGCUUGCUUCUCUGAUGUUAGCGGCGGACGGGUGAGUAACACGUGGAUAACCUACCUAUAAGACUGGGAUAACUUCGGGAAACCGGAGCUAAUACCGGAUAAUAUUUUGAACCGCAUGGUUCAAAAGUGAAAGACGGUCUUGCUGUCACUUAUAGAGGGAUCCGCGCUGCAUUAGCUAGUUGGUAAGGUAACGGCUUACCAAGGCAACGAUGCAUAGCCGACCUGAGAGGGUGAUCGGCGACACUGGAAGGUGGACACGGUCCAGACGCCUACGGGAGGCAGCAGUAGGGAAUCUUCCGCAAUGGGCGAAAGCCUGACGGAGCAACGCCGCGUGAGUGAUGAAGGUCUUCGGAUCGUAAAACUCUGUUAUUAGGGAAGAACAUAUGUGUAAGUAACUGUGCACAUCUUGACGGUACCUAAUCAGAAAGCCACGGCUAACUACGUG
rnacentral:rRNA from 1 species